ACUCGCUUGGUGAAAUUUGGUAAACACGAUGGAUUUAAAAUUCAUUCUCAGAGAGAGUUACUGGUUCAAGUCCAGUAGCGAGUA
rnacentral:tRNA from 1 species